GCCCCCGCGUGCGCCCAGCACGGAGGCACAGGGAACAGUGUUCAGGACAACAGGAAACAUGAUCUCCACCGUCGAGGAGCUGACAGCCUGCUGAGGGGGAGGACAGAGUCGACUAAGCCAGGACCACUCAGCGCAUGUGCCAGACAGGUCCUGGUUCUACUCCUGGGUGUACCCAGAACCUCCACAUCUCUCUCCUCACAGAUCCAGGACCUGCCGGGUUGUGUUGGAAGCUUCCACCAUGAGAUUUCGAAGGUUCUACUGCUUCUGUAUGAAAAGAGAGCCCAAGAAGGGACAGGCGAGCAGGCACUGGCCUGUGAGAUCCUCAUUCUCCUGCCUCAGCUAAGAAACGCUCCACCCACCAAUCCCUCUCCCUCCUCCUGUGUCCCCUUCCUUCUCUACCUUUCCUGGGAGGAUGCUGCAAGUGUCAGGCCUGGCCCCCAGGCAGGCUCUCAGCAGCUGGGAGCUCCCAUUGUGUAUGACAAAAACUUUGAGUGCCCACCGAGGGGAUUCCCGGCAGGAGGGAUCAGCCCCGCCUCUGGCAAGUGGAAUCUGGGCUGGGGGCCCACAGCAUCCAUGCCCCACCCCACCUGCCCAGCCAGGUCUGGCGGUGGCCCACUGGGCAGCUCCAUCCUGGGAAGAAGGUGGCUGUGCUCUCCUGAUCCACAAAGGCGCGUAGCCCUUUGGAGGUGAUUGAGGAUGCCGAUGACUAAUUGUGUCAGCAGUUGGUCUCAACUCGAGCCUUGUCCCGAUUAAAAUGGAAAUG
rnacentral:lncRNA from 1 species